UGACCAGAGAGAGGAAGAUGGUCU
rnacentral:misc_RNA from 1 species